rnacentral:rRNA from 1 species
ACUACGGGGGGCUGCAGUGGGGGAUAUUGCACAAUGGGGGAAACCCUGAUGCAGCGACGCCGCGUGUGGGAAGACGGUCCUCUGGAUUGUAAACCACUGUCCCCAGGGACGAAGAUGACGGUACCUGGGGAGGAAGCUCCGGCUAACUACGUGCCAGCAGCCGCGGUAAUACGUAGGGAGCGAGCGUUGUCCGGAAUUACUGGGUGUAAAGGGAGCGUAGGCGGGACUGCAAGUUGGGGGUCAAAUCUACCGGCUCAACCGGUAGCCGCACUCAAAACUGCAGUUCUUGAGUGAAGUAGAGGCAGGCGGAAUUCCUAGUGUAGCGGUGAAAUGCGUAGAUAUUAGGAGGAACACCAGUGGCGAAGGCGGCCUGCUGGGCUUUUACUGACGCUGAGGCUCGAAAGUGUGGGGAGCAAACAGGAUUAGAUACCCUGGUAGUC